rnacentral:rRNA from 1 species
UACGUAGGGUGCGAGCGUUAAUCGGAAUUACUGGGCGUAAAGCGUGCGCAGGCGGUUCUGAAAGUCAGCUGUGAAAGCCCCGGGCUUAACCUGGGAAUUGCGGUUGAAACUACAGGGCUAGAAUCUGGCAGAGGGGGUGGAAUUCCACGUGUAGCAGUGAAAUGCGUAGAGAUGUGGAGGAACACCGAUGGCGAAGGUAGCCCCCUGGGAUAACACUGACGCUCAUGCACGAAAGCGUGGGGAGCAAACAGG